UUUGUCUUAUAGUAAUAUUUUGAAAUUAAUUUUUUAGUUAAAAAGCUAAAAUUAACUUUAAAGACAAGAAGACCCUAUUAAGCUUUACAAUUUUAUAUUAUUUUCAAACUAAUAAAACAAUUGUUCUGCUGGGGCAGCAAAUAAAUAAAUAUUAUUUAUAUAUUGUGAUAAAUAAAUCUAGAAAAAUCAAUAAUUUAUUAAAUAAUAUCAAGUUACUAUAGGGAUAACAGCAUAAUUUUUUUAAAGAGUUCUCAUCAACAAAAAAGUUUGUGACCUCGAUGUUGGAUU
rnacentral:rRNA from 1 species